AAUGCUGUAUUAAGUAAUAACAAGAAAUAUAUCUCCUCUACUUUUUCCUGACGCGGAGUUGUACUGCCUAUGAUGCAUAAUUUGAUCGCAGUGUGAUCAAAAGACAUCAGCUAUAAUGUCUUAAUAAUAUUAUUAUGAAGAGUUUACCUUUUUACU
rnacentral:sRNA from 1 species